UACGUAGGGUCCGAGCGUUGUCCGGAAUUAUUGGGCGUAAAGCGCGCGUAGGCGGCUUUGCAAGUCGGGUGUGAAAGCCCUCAGCUCAACUGAGGAAGUGCGCCCGAAACUGCAGAGCUUGAGUACCGGAGAGGAUGGCGGAAUUCCCCAAGUAGAGGUGAAAUUCGUAGAUAUGGGGAGGAACACCGGUGGCGAAGGCGGCCAUCUGGACGGAUACUGACGCUGAGGCUCGAAAGCAUGGGGAGCAAACAGG
rnacentral:rRNA from 1 species